rnacentral:rRNA from 1 species
UACAGAGGGUGCAAGCGUUGUUCGGAAUUAUUGGGCGUAAAGCGCGUGUAGGCGGCGCUGUAAGUCGGAUGUGAAAGCCCUCAGCUCAACUGAGGAAGUGCGUUCGAUACUGCAGUGCUUGAGUGCCGGAGAGGAUGGCGGAAUUCCCGGUGUAGAGGUGAAAUUCGUAGAUAUCGGGAGGAACACCAGUGGCGAAGGCGGCCAUCUGGACGGACACUGACGCUGAGACGCGAAAGCGUGGGGAUCAAACAGG